GGUCGCUUAGCUCAGUUGGUUAGAGCGUGGUGCUAAUACUGAUAGUCACGAGAACUGAACUCUCGCAAUAUCAGGAACGCCAAGGUCGCGAGUUCGACCCUCGUAGUGACCA